rnacentral:rRNA from 1 species
GACGAACGCUGGCGGCGUGCCUAAUACAUGCAAGUCGAGCGGACGGAUGGGAGCUUGCUCCCAGACCGUCAGCGGCGGACGGGUGAGUAACACGUGGGCAACCUGCCUGUAAGACUGGGAUAACUCCGGGAAACCGGGGCUAAUACCGGAUAACUCUUUCCCUCACAUGAGGGAAAGCUGAAAGAUGGCAUCUCGCUAUCACUUACAGAUGGGCCCGCGGCGCAUUAGCUAGUUGGUGAGGUAACGGCUCACCAAGGCGACGAUGCGUAGCCGACCUGAGAGGGUGAUCGGCCACACUGGGACUGAGACACGGCCCAGACUCCUACGGGAGGCAGCAGUAGGGAAUCUUCCGCAAUGGACGAAAGUCUGACGGAGCAACGCCGCGUGAGUGAUGAAGGUGUUCGGAUCGUAAAACUCUGUUGUCAGGGAAGAACAAGUACCGGAGUAACUGCCGGUACCUUGACGGUACCUGACCAGAAAGCCACGGCUAACUACGUG